GACGAACGCUGGCGGCGUGCUUAACACAUGCAAGUCGAACGGUAAGGCCCUUCGGGGUACACGAGUGGCGAACGGGUGAGUAACACGUGGGUGAUCUGCCCUGCACUUCGGGAUAAGCCUGGGAAACUGGGUCUAAUACCGGAUAGGACCACUGCCUGCAUGGGUGGUGGGGGAAAGCUUUUGCGGUGUGGGAUGGGCCCGCGGCCUAUCAGCUUGUUGGUGGGGUGAUGGCCGACCAAGGCGACGACGGGUAGCCGGCCUGAGAGGGUGACCGGCCACACUGGGACUGAGAUACGGCCCAGACUCCUACGGGGGGCAGCAGUGGGGAAUAUUGCACAAUGGGCGCAAGCCUGAUGCAGCGACGCCGCGUGAGGGAUGACGGCCUUCGGGUUGUAAACCUCUUUCAGCACCGACGAAGCGCAAGUGACGGUAGGUGCAGAAGAAGGACCGGCCAACUACGUGCCAGCCGCCGCCGUAAUAC
rnacentral:rRNA from 1 species